rnacentral:rRNA from 1 species
UACGAAGGGGGCUAGCGUUGCUCGGAAUCACUGGGCGUAAAGGGUGCGUAGGCGGGUCUUUAAGUCAGGGGUGAAAUCCUGGAGCUCAACUCCAGAACUGCCUUUGAUACUGGCAAUCUUGAGUCCGGGAGAGGUGAGUGGAACUCCGAGUGUAGAGGUGAAAUUCGUAGAUAUUCGGAAGAACACCAGUGGCGAAGGCGGCUCACUGGCCCGGUACUGACGCUGAGGUGCGAAAGCGUGGGGAGCAAACAGG